rnacentral:rRNA from 1 species
AUGAAGGAAUUAGGAGAACACUUACAGUUAAAACUCCUCCUAACCUUGUGUCAUCGCACUCAAGUAAACCUCACCGUGAAAGACAUAAAGCAACCUCUCGACACACACACACACACACACACACACACACACACACACACACACACACACACACACACACAACACACACACAGAGAGAGAGAGAGGCCCACGGCUUGUAGCAGCACAUGGUUUGGCAUGGGGACAACGAUCUGCUGUUGUUCAUAUCAAGCAAGGCAAGUAAGAAUAAAAAAGGAUGUUUACCUAAUGCACAGAUGCUCGUACAAAUGCAAGAUAGCACUGUUGAGUUUUUGA